GCUGGCGGCGUGCUUAACACAUGCAAGUCGAACGGAAAGGCCCUGCUUGCGGGGUACUCGAGUGGCGAACGGGUGAGUAACACGUGGGUGAUCUGCCCUGCACUUCGGGAUAAGCUUGGGAAACUGGGUCUAAUACCGGAUAGGACCGCACUUUAGUGUGUGUGGUGGAAAGUUUUUUCGGUGUAGGAUGAGCUCGCGGCCUAUCAGCUUGUUGGUGGGGUAAUGGCCUACCAAGGCGGCGACGGGUAGCCGGCCUGAGAGGGUGUACGGCCACAUUGGGACUGAGAUACGGCCCAGACUCCUACGGGAGGCAGCAGUGGGGAAUAUUGCACAAUGGGCGCAAGCYUGAUGCAGCGACGCCGCGUGGGGGAUGAAGGCCUUCGGRUUGUAAACUCYUUUCGCUAGGGACGAAGCUUUUGWGACGGUNCCUAGAUAAGAAGCACCGGCUAACUACGUGCCAGCWGCCGCGGUAAUACGUAGGGCGCGAGCGUUG
rnacentral:rRNA from 1 species